GCCGGAGUGGCGGAAUGGCAGACGCGAAGGAUUCAAAAUCCUUUUCGGGGAAACCCGAGUGUGGGUUCGAGUCCCACCUCCGGCAC
rnacentral:tRNA from 2 species